rnacentral:rRNA from 1 species
GACGAACGCUGGCGGCGUGCUUAACACAUGCAAGUCGAACGGAAAGGCCCUGCUUGCAGGGUACUCGAGUGGCGAACGGGUGAGUAACACGUGGGUGAUCUGCCCUGCACUUCGGGAUAAGCCUGGGAAACUGGGUCUAAUACCGGAUAGGAGCCAUUUUUAGUGUGAUGGUUGGAAAGUUUUUUCGGUGUAGGAUGAGCUCGCGGCCUAUCAGCUUGUUGGUGGGGUAAUGGCCUACCAAGGCGGCGACGGGUAGCCGGCCUGAGAGGGUGGACGGCCACAUUGGGACUGAGAUACGGCCCAGACUCCUACGGGAGGCAGCAGUGGGGAAUAUUGCACAAUGGGCGCAAGCCUGAUGCAGCGACGCCGCGUGGGGGAUGACGGCCUUCGGGUUGGAAACUCCUUUCGCUAGGGACGAAGCUUUUUGUGACGGUACCUAGAUGAGAAGCACCGGCUAACUACGUG